UACUACCGAAGCUACGGCAUCAGUAAUGAUGGGUAGGGGAGCUUCCCAUACGGGUUGAAGCAUGACCGUAAGGACAUGUGGACAGUAUGGGAGUGAGAAUGUUGGCAUGAGUAGCGAGAUGUGGGUGAGAAUCCCACAGGCCGUAAACCCAAGGUUUCCAGGGGAAGGUUCGUCCGCCCUGGGUUAGUCGGGACCUAAGCUGAGGCCGAAAGGCGUAGGUGAUGGACAACAGGUUGAUAUUCCUGUACUACCGAUAACCGUUUGAGAGAAGGGAUGACACCGUAGGAUAAGCUAAGCACACUGUUGGUUAUGUGUGCCCAAGCAUUGAGGCAGUCAAAGUAGGCAAAUCCGCUUGGAUAAUGCUGGGAUGGUAUUGGGAGCGCAAUUUAGUAGCGAAGUAGCUGAUUUCACACUGUCAAGAAAAGUCUCUAUCGAGGUUAAAGGUACCCGUACCGCAAACCGACACAGG
rnacentral:rRNA from 1 species